AGGAAGUUAGUUUAAGUAAAACCUUUGAUUUCGGCUCAAAAACCUGUGGUUAAAAUCCACAACUACCUA
rnacentral:tRNA from 2 species